UACGUAGGGGGCAAGCGUUGUCCGGAUUUAUUGGGCGUAAAGAGCGUGUAGGCGGCUUUGCAAGUCCGUUGUGAAAACUCGAGGCUCAACCUCGAGACGCCGGUGGAAACUGCAAAGCUAGAGUCCGGAAGAGGAGAGUGGAAUUCCUGGUGUAGCGGUGAAAUGCGCAGAUAUCAGGAGGAACACCGGUGGCGAAGGCGGGUCUCUGGGCAGUAACUGACGCUGAGGAGCGAAAGCGUGGGGAGCGAACAGG
rnacentral:rRNA from 1 species